rnacentral:lncRNA from 1 species
GUUACUCAGGUGUUUUUGGACUGCAACUCCCAGAAGCCUUCACAACCAGCUGUGCUGGCUGGGGUUUCUGGGAAGUUGCAGUUCAAAAACACCUGAGUAACAAAGGUUAAGAACCACUGUACUGCCAGAAAACCCUACACAGGCUCGAACCGCAAGCGCAUGGCAGCGACGCGUGAACGAAACCGCACCGUCACGUGACCAUGAAAAACUCAGAUUCCCAAAAUGCCUUGAGACGAGCCUGCGCAGUAGCGCGCAGUGGGGCUAUAUAAGGACGCGAAAGGCAACCACGAGUCCUUUUCCCGUGCGUCCUCGGAAGGGGUCGGUUCUGCCACGUGUGUACAAUGAAGACCGGGGGCAAAACUACUCGGCCUGAAAGCGAUGGGGUCACCUGAAAUGCAUAGAGGUGUUAAAAGCUUCAGGGAAAUAUUUUUAAAAAGUGAGUUUCUGACUUUCUGUUUAUUUUUAAUUGGAAAAUCAAUACUGUAGGACUUCCAUAUCUGCAGGGGAUCGGUUCUAAGCCCUCCCCUCAUGCCGGAAAAUGCAGAUUAUAGUGAACGCUAUACUUAGCAUGGUCUCAGGCUAGUUCUGGUAACUUCAUAUUUAGAAAUAUAUAUUUCUAGAAAUUUUCUUUUAAUAUUUUUUGAUGUUUUCAGACUGGGAAUGUGAAUGAGCAGAUACUGAUCCCAUACAUAGAUGGGUCCUAUUGAAUUUAAAAGAUACAGUAGGUUGAACUUACAGUAUUUUUGUAAUCUGUUUAGUUAUAUAUAAUGUUUUAAGCAGUAAUAGGUGGUGUAUUAAUAGAAAUGAAGCCCACUGCUGGUUUUUCUUUUAUGAGCAGUUCAGUUCCAUAAUCUUCCAUAGAUUUAUGGGGUUUUUCCUCAGGGUCAUCAUUGUAUUGGGCAUAUUAUUGGAGAGAGAAUUCUCUUUAUGAUUGCAAAAGGUGAUGAUUUGAUGCACACACAUUUGUGGCACUUACUUUCAUUUGGGUGUGAGUAGCCAUGUCACAGGUGGCUUUCAAGGACCAGAUCAAGCACUAUUUAAAAGGACUUUAGGACUUUUGAGUCUGUGGAAGUGGGUUAUAAUUUAAGGAACCUCGUCCUGAAAUAAACCUGUUCAGUCUUUAAGGUGCCA